CGAUUUGGCUGGUUAAUUCCGGUAACGAACGAGACCACAGACUACUAAAUAGUACGUGUUAUGGUAACAUAGUAUGAGACUUCUUAGAGGGACAUUUCGGGUUUACCGAAAGGAAGUUUGUGGCAAUAACAGGUCUGUGAUGCCCUUAGAUGUUCUGGGCCGCACGCGCGCUACACUGACGACUUCAACAAGUUUUUUGGCCUUGCCAAAUUUCCUUGGCCGGAAGGUCUGGGUAAUCUUUUAAAAGGGCGUCGUGAUGGGGCUAGAUUCUUGCAAUUAUUAAUCUCCAACGAGGAACC
rnacentral:rRNA from 1 species